GACGAACGCUGGCGGCGUGCUUAACACAUGCAAGUCGAACGGUGAAGGGGCCUGCUUUUGUGGGCCCUGGAUGAGUGGCGAACGGGUGAGUAACACGUGAGUAACCUGCCCCCUUCUUCUGGAUAACCGCAUGAAAGUGUGGCCAAUACGGGAUAUUCUGGGUCUGUCGCAUGAUGGGUCUGGGAAAGAUUGCGCCUUUGGGUGUUUUUGGUGGGGGAUGGGCUCGCGGCCUAUCAGCUUGUUGGUGGGGUGAUGGCCUACCAAGGCGGUGACGGGUAGCCGGCCUGAGAGGGUGGACGGUCACACUGGGACUGAGACACGGCCCAGACUCCUACGGGAGGCAGCAGUGGGGAAUAUUGCACAAUGGGCGCAAGCCUGAUGCAGCGACGCCGCGUGAGGGAUGGAGGCCUUCGGGUUGUAAACCUCUUUCGCCAGUGAAGCAGGCCUGCUCCUUGUGGGUGGGUUGACGGUAGCUGGAUAAGAAGCGCCGGCUAACUACGUG
rnacentral:rRNA from 1 species